UAUAAUCUUUUACUUCCAUUU
rnacentral:piRNA from 1 species